rnacentral:rRNA from 1 species
GGUGCCUACGGGACGCAGCAGUGAGGAAUAUUGGUCAAUGGGCGCGAGCCUGAACCAGCCAAGUAGCGUGAAGGAUGACUGCCCUACGGGUUGUAAACUUCUUUUAUAAAGGAAUAAAGUGAGGCACGUGUGCCUUUUUGUAUGUAUUUUAUGAAUAAGGAUCGGCUAAAUCCGUGCCAGCAGCCGCGGUAAUACGGAGGAUCCGAGCGUUAUCCGGAUUAAUUGGGUUUAAAGGGAGCGUAGAU